AGACUCGGUGAAAUUUUAGUACCUGUGAAGAUGCAGGUUACCCGCGACAGGACGGAAAGACCCCAUGGAGCUUUACUGCAGUUUGAUAUUGAGUGUCUGUACCACAUGUACAGGAUAGGUAGGAGUCUAUGAGAUCGGGACGCCAGUUUCGAAGGAGACGAUGUUGGGAUACUACCCUUGUGUUAUGGCCACUCUAACCCAGAUAGGUGAUCCCUAUCGGAGACAGUGUCUGACGGGCAGUUUGACUGGGGCGGUCGCCUCCUAAAAGGUAACGGAGGCGCCCAAAGGUUCCCUCAGAAUGGUUGGAAAUCAUUCGCAGAGUGUAAAGGUAUAAGGGAGCUUGACUGCGAGAGCUACAACUCGAGCAGGGACGAAAGUCGGGCUUAGUGAUCCGGUGGUUC
rnacentral:rRNA from 1 species